rnacentral:lncRNA from 1 species
AUCUAUCACUCAGCGGUGGAACCCAUCUUCUUUACGGCGUCGUAUGAUAUACUCUACUCCAUGGUGAAGAAGCAUUUUUUACCUCCUUCUUCGAUCUCAUGAGGUAAAGAUAGCAUCUUUUGUGCUUCCUCUUUUGCUUUCUUUAUUAUGCUUUCCAAUUUUUCAUAACAUUUUCACGAUUACAUGUUCAAAUUUAAUUUCAUUUUUUAUUUUCAUGUUGAAGCCAAUGAUGAUUGAUUCUAAUAUAUGUAGCAAGUGCCGUCUGAAAAUUAACCAUUUUUAUGGUUCCUGAUGUACUUUAAGACUACCCACUGAGGCUUCUUUUCUAUUAUUUGAUUUUUGUAGGGUUGAUUUUGAGUUUUCUUGUUUUGAGAAAUUGAAAAAUGCGUACACUACUUAUAAAGGAUAAAAUCUAUUUUCAUAUUUAAGUAACUAUUGGCAUUCUUGUUUUUAAUGGGUGAUAUGCACAUGUUUCUUUCAACUUUAUCUUAAAUUUUUUUGGUUAUGUGUUUUAUCUUAUAAAGUUUGUGUGUAGUACUAUUGGGAUGAAAUUUGGCAAUGUAUUCUUUUUAUUUAUCCUAAAUGAUGUAAUAUAUUCAAUAUUUUCUCUACCUUUUCCAUCAAGAUUUAAG